rnacentral:rRNA from 1 species
GACGAACGCUGGCGGCGUGCCUAAUACAUGCAAGUAGAACGCUGAGGGAGGAGCUUGCUUCUCCGGAUGAGUUGCGAACGGGUGAGUAACGCGUAGGUAACCUGCCUGGUAGCGGGGGAUAACUAUUGGAAACGAUAGCUAAUACCGCAUAAGAGUAGAUGUUGCAUGACAUUUGCUUAAAAGGUGCAAUUGCAUCACUACCAGAUGGACCUGCGUUGUAUUAGCUAGUUGGUGAGGUAACGGCUCACCAAGGCGACGAUACAUAGCCGACCUGAGAGGGGGAUCGGCCACACUGGGACUGAGACACGGCCCAGACUCCUACGGGAGGCAGCAGUAGGGAAUCUUCGGCAAUGGACGGAAGUCUGACCGAGCAACGCCGCGUGAGUGAAGAAGGUUUUCGGAUCGUAAAGCUCUGUUGUAAGAGAAGAACGAGUGUGAGAGUGGAAAGUUCACACUGUGACGGUAUCUUACCAGAAAGGGACGGCUAACUACGUG